GAUGAAGAACGUAGCGAAAUGCGAUAAGUAGUGUGAAUUGCAGAAUUCAGUGAAUCAUCGAAUCUUUGAACGCACAUUGCGCCUUCUAGUAUUCUGGGAGGCAUGCCUGUUUGAGCGUCAUUAAACCUCUCUCAAGUAUGAUUACUUGGAUGUGAAGGAAGAGUACCUUAAACUUAAGUAGUGUUCUCCUUUGAAAUUGAUUAGCAGAUGGUAAUGUUAUUAAAUCCCUGAUGUUGUAAGAAAUAACAGUGGUUUUGUAGACUAUUAUCUAGCUUUAAAUUAUAAUUUUUAUUAUGGUUGACCUCAAAUCAGGUAAGGAUACCCGCUGAACUUAAGCAUAUCAAUAAGCGGAGGA
rnacentral:misc_RNA from 1 species